rnacentral:rRNA from 1 species
AGAGUUUGAUCCUGGCUCAGAUUGAACGCUGGCGGCAUGCCUUACACAUGCAAGUCGAACGGUAGAGGGGCAACCCUUGAGAGUGGCGAACGGGUGAGUAAUAUAUCGGAACGUGCCCAGUCGUGGGGGAUAACGCAGCGAAAGCUGCGCUAAUACCGCAUACGAUCUAUGGAUGAAAGCGGGGGAUCGCAAGACCUCGCGCGAUUGGAGCGGCCGAUAUCAGAUUAGGUAGUUGGUGGGGUAAAAGCCCACCAAGCCGACGAUCUGUAGCUGGUCUGAGAGGACGACCAGCCACACUGGGACUGAGACACGGCCCAGACUCCUACGGGAGGCAGCAGUGGGGAAUUUUGGACAAUGGGCGCAAGCCUGAUCCAGCAAUGCCGCGUGCAGGACGAAGGCCUUCGGGUUGUAAACUGCUUUUGUACGGAGCGAAACGGUCUGGGCUAAUACCCUGGGCUAAUGACGGUACCGUAAGAAUAAGCACCGGCUAACUACGUGCCAGCCGCCGCGGUAAUAC